rnacentral:rRNA from 1 species
UACGUAGGGUGCAAGCGUUGUCCGGAAUUAUUGGGCGUAAAGAGCUCGUAGGCGGUCUGUCGCGUCGGCUGUGAAAACCCGCGGCUCAACCUCGGGCCUGCAGUCGAUACGGGCAGACUAGAGUGCGGUAGGGGAGACUGGAAUUCCUGGUGUAGCGGUGAAAUGCGCAGAUAUCAGGAGGAACACCGGUGGCGAAGGCGGGUCUCUGGGCCGAAUACUGACGCUGGAGGAGCGAAAGCGUUGGGAGCGAACAGG